CAGAGGUCCCGAGCGUUGUUCGGAUUCACUGGGCGUAAAGGGUGCGUAGGUGGCGAGGUAAGUCGGAUGUGAAAUCUCCAAGCUUAACUUGGAAAUGGCAUUGGAAACUACCUGGCUAGAGGUUUGGAGGGGGGACUGGAAUUCUCGGUGUAGCAGUGAAAUGCGUAGAUAUCGAGAGGAACACCAGUGGCGAAGGCGAGUCCCUGGACAACACCUGACACUGAGGCACGAAAGCUAGGGGAGCAAACAGGAUUAGAUACCCUGGUAGUCCUAGCUGUAAACGGUGCUUGCUUGCUGUAAAAGGAAUCGACCCCUUUUGUGGCGAAGCCAACGCGUUAAGCAAGCCGCCUGGGAAGUACGGUCGCAAGAUUA
rnacentral:rRNA from 1 species